rnacentral:rRNA from 1 species
AACGAACGCUGGCGGCAUGCCUAACACAUGCAAGUCGAACGAGACCUUCGGGCUUAGUGGCGCACGGGUGCGUAACGCGUGGGAACCUGCCCUUAGGUUCGGAAUAACUCAGAGAAAUUUGAGCUAAUACCGGAUAAUGUCUUCGGACCAAAGAUUUAUCGCCUUUGGAUGGGCCUGCGUAGGAUUAGCUUGUUGGUGGGGUAAUGGCCUACCAAGGCGACGAUCCUUAGCUGGUCUGAGAGGAUGAUCAGCCACACUGGGACUGAGACACGGCCCAGACUCCUACGGGAGGCAGCAGUGGGGAAUAUUGGACAAUGGGCGAAAGCCUGAUCCAGCAAUGCCGCGUGAGUGAUGAAGGCCUUAGGGUUGUAAAGCUCUUUUACCAGGGAUGAUAAUGACAGUACCUGGAGAAUAAGCUCCGGCUAACUCCGUG